UUCAAGGUACAAGGUUCUCCAGCUCCACUUUGGGAAAUUCAUUGAUCCUGCCUGGGGACAGAACAAGACUUGAGUUGCUCAUGAGUAGAAACAUGGGUUUCUUGCUCAGAAGAGGGAAUGUCACAGCACUCAAAAGAUCCCAGGCUGCCACUUCCAGUUUAGGAAACCUCCAGUCACAAGAUGGUAACUGAGGCCGAAGGGGACCAAUACCUAACAAGCAAGACUGACCCCUAAAUUGCCAAUGGAGCACCUAGCCUAAAGACUGAAGCCAAAUCAGCUAAAUUUUCAGAAUCAAAGGUAAAAAAUAAUCUAUGCUUUGUAUGAGAAAGAAAAAAUAUCUUAGAGGAGAAAUGAGAGUGGAAGCACUGAAAAUGAUGAGAAGGGCAUAGUUGCAAAUCCAGGUAUAUGCAAAGUGUCAAGAAAGUCAUUGGCUAAACAUUUCCAUCCAGUCUGCAAAAACAAUGGACACAACUGCUGAGCAUGGAAGGUCCCUUCCAAAGCUGCAAUACCCACUGGAUGGAGCACCAGGCAGCUACCAAAACAUUUUGUUGGUAACAAAACCAGUCUUCUCCAAGAUGGUUGAAAAUGAUGAUAAUGUCAUUUGGCUUUAAGGAAAUACAUUCAGGCAUGAGUUGAGUAGAGUGCUGGAAAAGUAUGAGUGAUCUGUCUUGAGUUCAGGGAACUGUUUCAUACCUGCCUAAUGCUUACAUUUCAACCUUUGGGACCUCAGAGUUCAGAUGGCAUUUCUCCAUACCAAACUCAGAUCAGAGGGAGAAUGUACUAGAACCCUUUGCCAGGAGCAAUCUCCUGCUGAUCCAAUCCAAGUCGCAAGAUCCACAGCAGGACAAGGGAACUUUUGAAAGGGACUUGAAAAGAGUCCAGUUACUCUGUGGUUAACCCAUCAAAGGCAUCUUCCUGUAACACAGAGGAUAGCAGGCCUCGACAUGUGCUGGCCAUUUGGAAAACAGAUUCAUACAGAGCAGAUCAAACAUUUCGGGAGAGCCCCUUGCCUUGAAAAGAUAGAGCCUUAUGAAAAUCAUUAAGCCAUUCAUUGAUAUUUAUUUGCUUACACUGAGCUUCACCAAAGCAAGCAAGAAAAUGAGGAUGAGAACCAUUGACCCAGUUUCAGAGACCCUAGUUCAGAAAAGAAGGAUUCCCUUACAUGCCUGAUUUUAAAGAGCCUUUUAAGAGGACAUCCUACCACACAGCUGGCAUAGGAAGGCUGUCUUGGCUCCCCUCAACUGUGUAUUAGGUUAACAGCCAUCUCAAGCUUCUUAGAAACCUAGAAAUCCCCAGGCAGUUAGAGAAAUUCCAUAGAGCUAGGAAAACACUUGCAAUCUCAGAGCUUUAAGCAGGAACAAUAUUUCCAAACAUCUUCCUUUCUCAGUCUUUGUGUAACUUACUCCCAUCCUCGUAAAAGACAUGUAGCUCCACAGCCGGCCCAACAGUCUGUCCUUCCUAAUGAGCCCAAAGUCUCAAUUCAUGGCUCAGGUCCCAUGGACUUGAAAUGAACAAGGAGCAAGCCCAUAUUUUCACUUUGGGAGUUACCAGAUUUUUGUGCAUGAGUUCCUUGUAAAUCAAACUAAUUCCAUCCUCAGAUGGAAGGGAAUUUUUCUUGCUUUGAAGUUUAGCCCCUCAGAAUUCAUAACCCCCUGGCCUCAACUUCCCCUUUACUCAGAUGCAAAAUUCCUGUGAUCAGAGAAGAGUUCAGGAGAGUGCCAUCAUCCUCACACUCUGGGCUUUCAAGUGAUGCUCUUGUCUCAUUUGUGCUGUAGGCGGUGCCCAUGCACAGCCUCUGAAGCUCAGAGCCCAGGAGUGAGGGAAGAGGGUGGCUCUAGGGAAUUGAGCCCAAUGACUCCCAGAAUGUUACAGAGGUUGCAAAUCUGUCCUCAAAUAUUCAACACAUAUGUUCUGAAAUUCAUUAAGUUCUAAAAUUAAAAAACAAAUUUAAAAAAAUCCAGCAUUGGUUCUUGUACAAAGCAGACACAAGGAAUGCUUGUUGACUUAUUGAAUUUGUUAGCUGAUAAAUAUGAGAAAUACAGUCUGGUUUGUACCACAAGACAGUAGAAGUUAUAAGGAUAACAUUUGUCCUCAGUUUGCCACUAUAUAAGUUUUAGAAAAUGAAUUACCCAGACCCUGCCUGUGUUCAGAGCACAACCUUCUUCACAAAGCCAAAUUUUCUCCUUUAUUAUUUUGAGGGGAAAACUGUCACAUGGCUUUGAAUUGUCAAUUAAGUUUUUGUUAUCGCCACAACUACAUAAUCCUCAAAGGGAAGAAUUCUCUCAUAUUAUUCGUUUAUUUAUUUUGAGGCCGGGAAAUGUAACUCUUGAUGUAACAUAGAUUCUUGCACAAAGAUGAUCCUAAGUAAUUGUUAACUGAUUUAUUCAUUGGUAGGUAUUAAUACAGUCUUAUUUGUACCCUAUGACAACUAAGCUUGCAAUACACAAAGAACAUCAUUUUCUGGUACUUUUUUAUAAGUCCCUAUUUAGAAGAAAGUUUAUCUUAGUCUUUUCUGUGACUUUGUGUUGGCUUUGGAAAACAGUAUUUAAGAGGGAAUAAUGUAAUAAAAUAAGAUAGUAAGUAUGUACUAUUACUAUAAAAAUUACAACAC